GUAGAUGUCAUGUUGUGGCUGUUUCCCCACAGGAAUGUAUAUUAAAGUGAUUCUUGCUGUAUGCUGGCAGGAUCAAGUGCAAACUCCUUAGAAACCAAUAGGACAACAUCUUGUCCUACAUGCAAAUGCUGGAUCCAGAAAAACAGAGAAAUGAAAAAAGGGGAACAGACUUACCCAAUCUGUCGAUUUGUGGAAGGUGCUUGUGUAAUGACAGAACUGGAUUGCGGAGAUGGCAUGGCUUGCUGAAUCACAACACUGGUGUCGUGGUUCGGCAUCCUUGUAUUUGUCAGCUGGUGAGAUCCAGGUCCCGCCAUUGCUCCUCCAACUGUGUUAUGCAUGGAGAUAUUCCUUUUGUUGUUUUCUUCUUCUUGUGCCUUCCUAAACUCGUGCUCUAAGGAGCAGUCGAUGUCGUUGAAGAGGCCCACUUCCUCACAGUUCUUCAGAAAGCGUGUCGGUGUAGGAGUCUGAUCUGAUAACAUAUUAUCUGUUUUUAUUGAAGGAAACUUCAAAGUCAUUUCAUGUUUGUGCCUGUGAAUCAUCAGAUGAUCCUCUGUUGGAAAACGCUGUGAGCAGCCUGGGGCACUGCAGACAAAAGGCCUCUCCUGCUCCAAGUUCAUCUUUGAUUCCUCAUAAAUCGCCCGGCGCAGCGCGGCGCGGCGGGGACGGGACCGGCAGCGCGGCCGGAGG
rnacentral:lncRNA from 1 species